GGAUGAACGUUGGCGGCGUGCCUAAUACAUGCAAGUCGAACGAAGACUGUAGUAAUACUGUCUUAGUGGCGAACGGGUGAGUAACGCGUGGGUGACCUGCCCCGAAGUGUGGGAUAACAGUCCGAAAGGAUUGCUAAUACUGCAUAAUAUCCAAGAGAUUAGAUGCUUUUGGAUUAAAGGAGUAAUUCGCUUCGGGAGGGGCCCGCGUCCCAUCAGCUAGUUGGUAAGGUAAUGGCUUACCAAGGCGAUGACGGGUAGGGGACCUGAGAGGGUGGCCCCCCACAAUGGAACUGAAACACGGUCCAUACACCUACGGGUGGCAGCAGUAGGGAAUAUUAGUAAUGGGCGAAAGCCUGAACUAGCAACGCCGCGUGUGCGAAGAAGGCCUUCGGGUCGUAAAGCACUUUUUGAGAGGAUGAGGAAGGACGGUACUCUCAGAAUAAGUCUCGGCUAACUACGUGCCAGCAGCCGCGGUAACACGUAGGAGGCAAACGUUAUCCGGAUUUACUGGGCGUAAAGCGCGUGUAGGUGGUUUGGUAAGUAGGGCGUGAAAGCUCCUGGCUCAACUGGGAGAGGACGUUCUAAACUACCAAGCUUGAGGAUGGUAGAGGGAGGUGGAAUUCCGGGUGUAGCGGUGGAAUGCGCAGAUAUCCGGAGGAACACCAGUGGCGAAGGCGGCCUCCUGGACCACUCCUGACACUCAGACGCGAAAGCUAGGGUAGCAAACGGGAUUAGAGACCCCGGUAGUCCUAGCCCUAAACGAUGUAGACUUGGCGUCGGUGGUUUAAUCGCCAUCGGUGUCGUAGCUAACGCGAUAAGUCUACCGCCUGGGGACUACGGCCGCAAGGUUAAAACUCAAAGGAAUUGACGGGUCCCCGCACAAGCAGCGGAGCGUGUGGUUUAAUUCGAUGCGACGCGAAGAACCUUACCUGGACUUGACAUGCAAGUGGUAGAACCCUGAAAGGGGGACGACCGUAGCAAUACGGAGCUUGCACAGGUGCUGCAUGGCUGUCGUCAGCUCGUGCCGUGAGGUGUUGGGUUAAGUCCCGCAACGAGCGCAACCCCUGUGGUUAGUUGCCCUUAUUCAGUUAGGCACUCUAGCCAGACUGCCUGUGAUAAGCAGGAGGAAGGUGGGGAUGACGUCAAGUCAGUAUGGUCCUUAUGUCCAGGGCUGCACACGUGCUACAAUGACCGGUACAGAAGGAAGCAAGGCCGCGAGGCGGAGCUAAUCCCCAAAACCGGUCUCAGUUCGGAUUGGAGUCUGCAACCCGACUCCAUGAAGCUGGAAUCGCUAGUAACGGCGCAUCAGCUACGGCGCCGUGAAUACGUUCCCGGGUCU
rnacentral:rRNA from 1 species